CCGGGCGUAGCUCAGCCUGGUCAGAGCGGCCGGCUGUAGACCGGCAGGUCCCCGGUUCGAAUCCGGGCGCCCGGACCA
rnacentral:tRNA from 2 species